UCACUACUCAAGCCCGGCUUGCUGUUGGAUCUCUUGUCGUUAAAAGACAGGUCCCAAAGAUAAUGACGGCGUCAAUUGGACCCUAGAUGCAACGAGCUUUCAUUAGCACGCAUUUUAGUUAAGCCUUUUGACCCGGUCUUUUUAACCAAUUUCUAA
rnacentral:misc_RNA from 1 species